rnacentral:rRNA from 1 species
CAGUCGCCACGGUAACACGUAGGUGGCAAGCGUUGUCCGGAAUUAUUGGGCGUAAAGGGCUCGCAGGCGGUUUCUUAAGUCUGAUGUGAAAGCCCCCGGUUCAACCGGGGAGGGUCAUUGGAAACUGGGAAACUUGAGUGCAGAAGAGGAGAGUGGAAUUCCACGUGUAGCGGUGAAAUGCGUAGAGAUGUGGAGGAACACCAGUGGCGAAGGCGACUCUCUGGUCUGUAACUGACGCUGAGGAGCGAAAGCGUGGGGAGCGAACAGGAUUAGAUACCCGAGUAGUCCCUGUCUCUUAUAC